GACUUCGAGCUUGAGAAGAGAGAGGGAGGGGAGAGGAGAGGAGGGAGAAGGAAAUGACAGAGAGAGAGAGAGAGAGAGGGAGAGAGAGAGAGAGAGAGAGAACGCAGAGGGAGGGAGGCAGGGAGGGAGACCAAACCCCCGCUUUACUGCGUUGAAGCUUCUGAAUUUCAAGCAGAAAGUAGAAGGAGCUCCAAACGGCAGUGAGUGUCUUUCCUUGGGCUGCGUGUGGCGAGCGUAGACAAUGAAAAUCUCCAUCCCCCUCCCCCAUUCCCACUAGGCUGCAAGAUUCUUGUUUUCGUUCCUUCUUACCGGUGGAAGCUGUGUAAAAUCAAAUAUGUAGAGGUGUGUAGUGAUUUUUUAAAAGCCAACUAACCCACCGCACGGGCUGCGACGCGGAUUACCCGAGCGCACGCCGGCUGGGCGCGUUCUGGGGUCUCUGCUCAAGACUACCUCUCAGCUCUCUCUCCCUUCCUCGGACUCUGGAGUGAGAGCGGGCCUUUCCCUCGGCCGACCACACAGUAGGGGACGCCGUGAAAAGAGCCGUCGCGCCCGCCGCCUCCUGCCCGCUGCGCAGAGGGCUCCGCCCGUAGAGGUCAACUUCCCUCACCCUUUCCUCUCUCCUGCUCGCCCUUCCUCCGCCCGGCCCAGGCGCUUCCAGCCACCGACUCCGGCCGCAGGCUGAGGAGUGCGAGUCCGCUGCGCUGCCCUGAACCGAAGCCCCUUCCAGGCCCAGACCCGAGGUCCGCGCUCCGGGGCAGUGGGAAAGCCUUAGUGAGCAGCCUUUUCUCUCCGCAGCAAACUCGUAGCCAGACCAGAUGGGCCGCCCAGCUCUCCUGGGACUAGGCAGGUGCGGUUGAGUUAAUUUUUCCGCAUUACAAAGAAAGAUGACCCAGUCCGCCCUUGGACUCUCUUUUCCCAAAAUAUCCCAUCCAAACCCGCGGUAACAUUAUUGGAGGACACAGAGACCAGGCAUAUCUGUGUGUUUAUCUUACAAGCACACACACAUGUUUGUUUUCCCCUUUAUAUGCUAGAUUUCAUCCCCUACAGCAGAAAAUGAUUGGCGAUGUUUCUGACGGAGAACAGGCAACGGCGUGGUUCUUAAAAACCUGCCAUUCCUUACAAGUGCCUUAGAAGGGAUUCAGGGCGAACCAACUGGGUUAAUUGCAUUCAGUAAAAUAACACGAUUACAAAAUUAGAUCUGUACCAGAGGGGUAAUUAACUUGGAUCCACGCCGUCAUUUGAAAACUAGAUUUAUAGGCGUAUGUAUGUUUUUAGGCGUGUGCUGUAAAUGGCAUGGAGAUAUAUGCAUAUGUAUACGCAGACACACGCAUCGUCUACACUUCCACGGAACAGACUAAUUAACAGCGGCUCUGGCAGAUGUGGCAGAGAUGAGCGGAGACAGGAGCUGGGCUUAUGAGUUAUGACUCUGGGGGUAGACACUCAGAGCAGAGGGAGGGGGAUGGGCAGGGAGAGAAGUGUGGUAGUCGCAGUAGGUCUGAUACUUUCCGGAUCAAGAUCAGAGGUUCUGCCCUCCGUGUUCACAGCGGACCUUGAUUUAAUGUCAUACAAUUAAGGCACGCGGUGAAUGCCAAGAGCGGAGCCUACGGCUGCACUUGAAGGACACCAAAGCGUCCCAGGGUCAGAAAGGGGAAAAGGCAAUUGCAGGGAAUUUAGAAGGUGGUAGGAUGAACCCAUCCCUUGCCGCAUAAAUGCCCCCCACCCCCACCCCGGACUGAUUCUAGAAGCAACCUGGCGGGAAAAUCUACUCUUCCGUUAGAGUCGCGGAAAUCCGCCGGAAAAUCUCUGAAGGGGAUUUUAGGAAAGCUUCAUUGACAGCUGUCAGGAGAGCAGUAGUUCCCGUCUGUGCAAAUAUUCUAAAGAGUUAAACCAUUUAGAAAGCACUGGUUCUUUUAAGAGCAGGUAGUGUGAUUGUCUGCAGUCCUAGGCCAAGCUGGGAAAACAAAACAGAAGAGAGAGGUGUAACAGUAAAUGGCGUCUGGAACACAUUGCGCAAGAAACCUCAAACGAACGGUCCAAACUUUGGAAAGAUCUGAAGAACACCUGCCGCGCGCAUUUCCCUUUGACUUCUCCCCUUCUCUUCCCAAUCUCGAGGCGUCCUUGCCUGACUUUAAAACGCCAAGAUAACUCUCUUGUUUUGGCAUUGUCGCAAUGUCCAAAUCUGUCAAAGGAGUGGGAUAAGGGAAAGGACCAGGUCAGAAACUUUAAAAUGACUCGGGAAAUUAAUUUAUUUGAAAGCCAAUGAGGUGGACUAUGUUGAGGUAGUAGUUCUGCACCACGGCUUUGGAGCCAUAGAAAAAUCCAGGCCGAGAAAGCGAGCCUUGAUGUCUUUGUUCUGCCUUGGCCUGCAGGGGCUGGGAACAAAGGAGAGGCGCUAAAAGGAUGCACCAAAGUGGCCGCGCCCUCCCUGCCGGGCGCUGUCCGCGGUGCUGACCGUGGCCCUCCUCUCUCUCCGUAAUUAAACUGGGAAAGCCAUAGGACCGUCCCGUUCCUACUCAAAAGAGUAGGAUAUUAGGUAAUUUGAAAAAUAAAAUUUAAAAGAGAGAAAGUCCACAUACAGCAAAACAAUAUUUUCCUGAAAUCGUUCCCUCCAGCUGUUGCCACCCUUGCCUGAUAUUCUUUGGUCUUCACUUAGAAAUGCACACAAACAUUCAGUUUAUGUAUAUGGGGAAACAAUUUUCAGUUUAUUUAGGCCAAAACCUGAAUCCUGCCGUGGGCAGGAUUGAAAGAAGGAAACUGAGGAGAAUGAAGUCUUUAUUAUUCUUCUUCUUUCUUAAGUUGUCUUCCUUAAAACAGAAACCUGAGAUCCCCAGACGCGGAUCUUAGCACAGACUUAGUCACUAAAGGGACGUGCAAUGGACGCAAGCGUGGGCCUCGAAACUUAAACAGGAAGGGGUGGUCGGAGACCCACCAGGUGAGACAGAGCAGGAGCCCCUGCAGCCUGCCACCUUCAGCCAGGCCUUAUAGCCCGGCAGCCUUAGUUAGACGGGUCCAGAGGGUUGAGCUCUGCAGACCGCUCGGGUGCGCAGGAGCCUGCUCGGCACAUCCCAGCCGGCGGGAGGCACUGGAGGGCCAGGAGGCCUGAAACCCGCACUGCGGAAAACCCGACCGCAGCCGCAUCCUCAUAGCUCCCGCGACGGAAAGAGGCAGGGCGGUUUACCAAAACCUAUCCAGUGAAAAUUCGCCUUAGGAAUUGAAGGUUGGAUGGGUCAGUAUUGAUAUAUUUUAAAAAAUCUUUAAAUUUCUCAACCUAUUUCAUCGUUCUUAGAUAUUGAGAGUAUUAAAUGUAAACAAUACAAAUUUUAAUUCCCUAAGUAAUGAAUCAAAAUAGCAAGGGAGAGAGAGAGAGAGACGAAAAAUAAGCUAAUUCAUAGCCAGCCUGGCUGGCUAUUCCUCAAAAGAAAUUUCUAUGCAUUUGCUUAGGUUUGCCUAUAAAUUCACAAACAUAAAGGCUGUUAAAAUUAAUAACAGAUUGGACAAUAGAGGUAGCAACACCGAUUUUGAUGCAGAUAUAAAAAUGGGCCAUGCAUUGAAAUGACCUAAAAGAGAUGUGUUCAUUAAGCUCUUCUUCUUCUCCCUCUCUCUCUCUCUUUUUUUUUUUUUUACACGGGACGUAGAUGUAUACUAAGAUUCAUGAGAUAAAACGGCCAGGUGCAAUAUCCUCAGAGAGCUGUCUGCUCACCCCCUGCCUGAGGGCGGAUUUUAUCUGUUCUCGAAUUUUAGAACUCUGCAAGUCAGGUCUUUCAUAUCCAUCGAUUACUUUGGUUUAUAUUUAAUUUUAUCCAAUUUGGGAAUGGGUAGGUAAAGCACAGUGGAAAAUAAGGGCUGCUGGCAUGACAAAAUUAAAGGGUUGUGAGUAUUCCUCUUAUGCCAAUUAAAAGCAGUUGUGGGAAGCGGAAAUGAGUUUAAAGCAUUACACGUUACCAUGGCGGCCUUUCUUUCUAAUAUUUAUCCAAUUGCGCUGUUUUCCUGCAUCCACAACUUGCAUAGUCCACAAAGCACCUAUGGUCCAGGGCUGCAAAAUCGUCCCGCCUGAUUCCGUUAGAAUUCAUACUACCUAGCAGGAGCAAACCUUAUCCCCUCAGCCUAAUCCUACCUGUUUAGGACCAUCUAAACUCGGCCUUCAGAAAUCUUGAUUAGUUUAAAAUUACUUUCUAAGUAGAAAUGAAAUACAUGAUAUGAGAGAGGUUAAAAUACUACUUAAAAAGGGAACACUCAAUUUAGUAAUUCGGUUGCCUAGAUGAAAUCGAGUGGCUAUUGAUCCUUGAUGUUUCUAGAUUUUUAAGACUAUGUACUUUCUAUUUCUCUGGAAAAUAAUCAUCCAGUUUGAUGCCCGUUACAAAUUUUCCUGCUAUGAAAGAAAUUCUAUGCGCAGCAGUUUCUCAGUAAAACAACCCAGGCUUCGCAAUGGGAGAACUUCGGCGCGGCGUGCCGUGGGAGUCCUUUGACAAUCUCAACUUUCAUCUGGGUCUGAAAUUAAAGCUUCUCGGAAUAAUUUAGGAACAGCUUGACCCGUUGAGAUACUCAACGACAGCCCUCCAGGGAAAUAGUAUGUUUCCUUCCUGGGAACAAGAUGCUAGCGCAGUGCACCGGGAGGUAUCCGGUGUCAACAAUGCCAGAGCGCCCUCUGCUGCCUCAGAGAGGCAAGACACCAGUUACAAAAGCCAGAUGGCACAGUGGCAAUAAGCGGAGGAAACAUUAAGCUCUUAGAAACGUUUAAUCUGUGAAAUUUAAAAGCUCUCAUCAUAUUCUACUUUUAAAAGGGCCACCUGAUUUUGAUUUUGAGCACUCCUUGGACGAUAUCUUCUAUUCUGGAGGAUAAUGAAAAGUCAGUGUUUUGAAGUUUUCAGAUUAUUUCUGUUGGUAUAUUUCUCCACCCUUUCUCGAAUUUUUUAUGGAAAUACGAAACUGCAAAUCGGAGUGAAAAUCCUUUGUGCAAAACAGGUGAGUGGAGAAAACGUCCUGAUUUCUCCAGAUAACCAAGCUCUACUAAAGAAAGAAAUUUUAAUUAAAAUAAAGACAUUAAGCACAUGUUGUUGCAUUAUUUUAAAAAGAUAAUUAAAAAAGAAUUUGCCUCGAUGUAAGUGUUUUUUUGUUUUGUUUCAACGAUCAACCCAAAUUUUGCUCAGACUUUAAGUUUUGAAAUAAGAAAGUGAAUUAUUUUUUAAAAAGAAGAAAAAUUUUCUUCACAUUAAUAUGUACACUAUUUUUGCCCUUAAAUUCUUUGCAAUAAAUGUAUAUACACACUCAGCUUGCAAAUACUUCUUUGGAAAAUAACCCACUAUGAGUAGAAGUAAUCAGAUAUGGUACUAGCAUGGGCAAACCCAUAAGAAAGGUUAUUUGCAUUAAAAAUGAGUUUUUCAGUAGGGAAAAUCGAUUACCAAGUGAAAUACAAGUUUUUGUUUUUUUUUUUUUUUAAGGUUCAAACCCUUUUAAAUUUUUAUGUGUUAUAAGGUUUAUGUCGAUUAAAACAAAUGUACUUUUGUAGUAAUUCAACAUUAUGAAUUUUAAGAUUGCAGCAUAUUUUGAAACACACACUUUUGCCAUGAAGACUGUUGUUGUAUAUAUCAGUGCUGAUGUAAUAAAAUGCUUCUGUUAACUAUGUAGUUAUUAAAUAAAUCUUGUAAAAAUAAAGUUCUGUUUAUUUUAUCAUGUCAGAACAAAAUAGCUGUCUAAAAUCACUUAUUUUAAUCUUACCUUUUAAAUGAAAAUGCCUAUGAGAAUAUGAAGCUAUAAGAUUACUGAGGAAACUAAGAUAAAAUUAAAAAUUGUAUGACUUUGUAAUUUGGUAUAAUUAAAAAAACAUGUAUUGAUUAAAUGAUAAAUAAGGUUAAAUAUUUGACCAACUAUGUCCAGUUCCAUAUAAAUGUAGGUACAUUUGUCUUCUGAAAGGUCUUUCUCCAAAUAAUGCAUUUACAAAUUUAUGGCACAAUAAGUGAAGAAAUAGUAGAACUUUUAUGUUUUUAUUUUAAGCAUCCUUUUCCAAAUUAAAAAUAUUAUUUUUUCUUAUAGUUAAUUUAAAUUUCUUCCUAAAUAAAUUCAUAUUUUAUCCAGGAGAAAAUAAACAGAGGGGCAUAAUUUUGCUAUAAGUAUUUUAGUUAUCAUAAUCAGUUAAAAAACAACCUCUAGGUAAAUAAAAUAUAUAAUAAAAUAUAAAUUAAAAAUGAAAAUAAAAUGCACUAAAUUCAUGGGUGGAAGACAUGAACAUGACUUUUUCCUAUUUUAAAAACCAUUCGAUGUAUUCU